AACGCAUCUUGCGCCCUUUGGUAUUCCGAAGGGCAUGUCUGUCUGAGUGUCAUGAAAUUCUCAAUCUCUCAUUUUUUAAUGAUGAGUUGGUUGGAUCGUGGGUGUUUGCUAGAUAAGUUAGCUCACCUGAAAUUUAUUUGCAAUGUUAUGUCCUUGUGAGUUGGCCUGACUAGGCGUGAUGGUAAAAAAUUCGUCUAGGAUCCCACUUUAUGUGAGGAGCCGCUUCUGUUGGAUUGUGUUGUUGCAUGUAAUCUACAUCUUUGGUUUAGACCUCAGAUCAGGCAGGACUACCCGCUGAACUUAA
rnacentral:rRNA from 1 species